rnacentral:rRNA from 1 species
GACGAACGCUGGCGGCGUGCCUAAUACAUGCAAGUCGAGCGGACAGAUGGGAGCUUGCUCCCUGAUGUUAGCGGCGGACGGGUGAGUAACACGUGGGUAACCUGCCUGUAAGACUGGGAUAACUCCGGGAAACCGGGGCUAAUACCGGAUGGUUGUUUGAACCGCAUGGUUCAAACAUAAAAGGUGGCUUCGGCUACCACUUACAGAUGGACCCGCGGCGCAUUAGCUAGUUGGUGAGGUAACGGCUCACCAAGGCAACGAUGCGUAGCCGACCUGAGAAGGUGAUCGGACACACUGGGACUGAAACACGGACCAGACUCCUACGGGGGGCAGCAGUAGGGAAUCUUCCGCAAUGGACGAAAGUCUUACGGAGCAACGCCGCGUGAGUGAUGAAGGUUUUCGGAUCGUAAAGCUCUGUUGUUAGGGAAGAACAAGUACCGUUCGAAUAGGGCGGUACCUUGACGGUACCUAACCAGAAAGCCACGGCUAACUACGUGCCAGCCGCCGCGGUAACAC